AAACUGCUUCAACUAAUGUGCAAAAUAACCAGCUAGCAUCAUGAUCACAGGAUCAAAUUCACACAUAACAAUAUUAACCAUAAAUAUACAUGGGCUAAAUGCCCCAAUUAAAAGACAUAGACUGGAAAAUUGGAUAGAGUCAAUACCCAUAGGUGUGCUGUAUUCAGGAGACCCAUCUCACUUGCAAGGACACACAUAGGCUCAAAAUAAAGGGAUGAAGGAAUAUUUACCAAGCAAAUGGAAAGAAAGGGAAAAAAAAGCAGGGGUUUCAAUCCUAGUCUCUAAUAAAACAGACUUUGAUAUCUAGGACACAGGUAAAACAGUGUUUAGAGGGAAAUUUAUAGCAUUAAAUGCCCACAUCAGAAAGUGGGAAAGAUCUAAAACAGACACCCUAACAUCACAAUCAAAAGAAGCAAUGGCAAACACAUUCAAAACCUAGCAUAAGACAAGAAAUAACUAAGAUCACAGCAGAACUGAAUGGGAGAGAAACACGAAAAAACCUUCAAAAAAAUCAAUGAAUCUAGGAGCGGGUUUUUUGAAAAGAUUAACAAAAUAGACCGGUAGCCAGACUAAUAUGGAAGAAAAGAGAGAAAAAUCAAACAGACACAUUAAAAAAUGAUAAAGGGGAUAUCACCACUGAUGCCACAGAAAUACAAACUAUUAUCAG
rnacentral:lncRNA from 1 species